rnacentral:rRNA from 1 species
UGCAAGUCGAACGGGAUCGGCUGGAGCUUGCUCCGGCCGUGAGAGUGGCGAACGGGUGAGUAAUGCGUGACCGACCUGCCCCAUACACCGGAAUAGCUCCUGGAAACGGGUGGUAAUGCCGGAUGCUCCGACUCCUCGCAUGGGGUGUCGGGAAAGAUUUCAUCGGUAUGGGAUGGGGUCGCGUCCUAUCAGGUAGUCGGCGGGGUAACGGCCCACCUAGUCUUCGAUGGAUAGGGGUUCUGAGAGGAAGGUCCCCACAUUGGAAAUGAGACACGGUCCAAACUCC